AAGACCAACAGGGAUUGCCCCAGUAACGGCGAGUGAAGCGGCAACAGCUCAAAUUUGAAAUCUGGUCCCCCUUGGGGGCCCGAGUUGUAAUUUGAAGAGGAUGCUUCUGGCGAGGCGCCGUCCGAGUUCCCUGGAACGGGACGCCAAAGAGGGUGAGAGCCCCGUACGGUCGGACGCCGAGCCUCUGUGAAGCUCCUUCGACGAGUCGAGUAGUUUGGGAAUGCUGCUCAAAAUGGGAGGUAAACCCCUUCUAAAGCUAAAUACCGGCCAGAGACCGAUAGCGCACAAGUAGAGUGAUCGAAAGAUGAAAAGCACUUUGAAAAGAGAGUUAAAAAGCACGUGAAAUUGUUGAAAGGGAAGCGCUUGCGACCAGACUCGCGCCCGUCGGAUCAGCCGUCGCUUGUCGGCGGCGCACUCCGGCGGGCUCGGGCCAGCAUCGGUUCGCCUCGGGGGGAGAAAGGCGGCGGGAACGUGGCUCUACGGAGUGUUAUAGCCCGCCGCGCAAUACCCCCGGGUGGACCGAGGACCGCGCGAAAGCAAGGAUGCUGGCGUAAUGGUCGUCAGCGACCCGUCUUGAAACACGGACCAAGGAGUCGUCCUAAUAUGCGAGUGUACGGGUGUCAAACCCCUGCGCGUAAUGAAAGUGAACGGAGGUGAGAGCUUCGGCGCAUCAUCGACCGAUCCUGAUGUUCUCGGAUGGAUUUGAGUAAGAGCAUAUUGGGCCGGACCCGAAAGAAGGUGAACUAUGCCUGUGUAGGGUAAAGCCAGAGGAAACUCUGGUGGA
rnacentral:sRNA from 1 species